rnacentral:rRNA from 1 species
UUCGCCCUUUUACCGGUGCGGGCCGUGAGAGCGGGAGCCCGGAGAUGGGCACUGAGAUAAGGGCCCAGGCCCUAUGGGGCGCAGCAGUUGCGAAACCUCCGCAAUGCGCGAAAGCGUGACGGGGUUACCCCAAGUGCCAUCCGCUGAGGAUGGCUUUUCUUCGGUGUAAUGAGCCGAAAGAAUAAGGGGAGGGCAAGACUGGUGUCAGCCGCCGCGGUAAUACCAGCUCCCCGAGUGGUAGGGGCUUUUAUUUGGCCUAAAGCGUUCGUAGCCUGUUUAAUAAGUCUCCUGUUAAAUCCAGCGAUCUAAUCGUUGGGCUGCGGGUGAUACUAUUGGACUAGGGGGCGGAAGAAGCCGACGGUACUCUUGGGGUAGGGGUGAAAUCCUAUAAUCCUAAGAAGACCACCAGUGGCGAAGGCGGUCGGCUAGAACGCGCCCGACGG